AGAGUUUGAUCAUGGCUCAGGAUGAACGCUAGCUACAGGCUUAACACAUGCAAGUCGAGGGGAAACGACAUCGAAAGCUUGCUUUUGAUGGGCGUCGACCGGCGCACGGGUGAGUAACGCGUAUCCAACCUGCCCACCACUUGGGGAUAACCUUGCGAAAGUAAGACUAAUACCCAAUGACGUCUCUAGAAGACAUCUGAAAGAGAUUAAAGAUUUAUCGGUGAUGGAUGGGGAUGCGUCUGAUUAGCUUGUUGGCGGGGUAACGGCCACCAGGCGACGAUCAGUAGGGGUUCUGAGAGGAACGGUCCCCANAUUGGAACUGAGACACGGUCCAAACGUCCGUACGGGAGGCA
rnacentral:rRNA from 1 species